GAACAUGAGAGUUUGAUCCUGGCUCAGGAUGAACGCUGGCGGCGUGCUUAACACAUGCAAGUCGAACGAAACACCUUAUUUGAUUUUCUUCGGAACUGAAGAUUUGGUGAUUGAGUGGCGGACGGGUGAGUAACGCGUGGGUAACCUGCCCUGUACAGGGGGAUAACAGUUAGAAAUGACUGCUAAUACCGCAUAAGACCACAGCACCGCAUGGUGCAGGGGUAAAAACUCCGGUGGUACAGGAUGGACCCGCGUCUGAUUAGCUGGUUGGUGAGGUAACGGCUCACCAAGGCGACGAUCAGUAGCCGGCUUGAGAGAGUGAACGGCCACAUUGGGACUGAGACACGGCCCAAACUCCUACGGGAGGCAGCAGUGGGGAAUAUUGCACAAUGGGGGAAACCCUGAUGCAGCGACGCCGCGUGAGUGAAGAAGUAUCUCGGUAUGUAAAGCUCUAUCAGCAGGGAAGAAAAUGACGGUACCUGACUAAGAAGCCCCGGCUAACUACGUGCCAGCAGCCGCGGUAAUACGUAGGGGGCAAGCGUUAUCCGGAAUUACUGGGUGUAAAGGGUGCGUAGGUGGUAUGGCAAGUCAGAAGUGAAAAC
rnacentral:rRNA from 1 species